GCCGCGAAUUCGCCCUUAGAGUUUGAUCAUGGCUCAGGAUGAACGCUGGCGGCGUGCCUAAUACAUGCAAGUCGAGCGAAUGGAUUAAGAGCUUGCUCUUAUGAAGUUAGCGGCGGACGGGUGAGUAACACGUGGGUAACCUGCCCAUAAGACUGGGAUAACUCCGGGAAACCGGGGCUAAUACCGGAUAACAUUUUGAACCGCAUGGUUCGAAAUUGAAAGGCGGCUUCGGCUGUCACUUAUGGAUGGACCCGCGUCGCAUUAGCUAGUUGGUGAGGUAACGGCUCACCAAGGCAACGAUGCGUAGCCGACCUGAGAGGGUGAUCGGCCACACUGGGACUGAGACACGGCCCAGACUCCUACGGGAGGCAGCAGUAGGGAAUCUUCCGCAAUGGACGAAAGUCUGACGGAGCAACGCCGCGUGAGUGAUGAAGGCUUUCGGGUCGUAAAACUCUGUUGUUAGGGAAGAACAAGUGCUAGUUGAAUAAGCUGGCACCUUGACGGUACCUAACAGAAAGCCACGGCUAACUACGUGCCAGCAGCCGCGGUAAUACGUAGGUGGCAAGCGUUAUCCGGAAUUAUUGGGCGUAAAGCGCGCGCAGGUGGUUUCUUAAGUCUGAUGUGAAAGCCCACGGCUCAACCGUGGAGGGUCAUUGGAAACUGGGAGACUUGAGUGCAGAAGAGGAAAGUGGAAUUCCAUGUGUAGCGGUGAAAUGCGUAGAGAUAUGGAGGAACACCAGUGGCGAA
rnacentral:rRNA from 1 species